CUUCUUCAGCUGUUUACAGACCAUCUACCAGUGCAGCUGGUUCCAGACCUUCUACUAGUUUUUCUCAUGGACAAUUUAUAUGCUCCACAUCUACUGUUACACACAGUUCUUCAUCUGCGGACACACUUCCUGAUGUGAUUUGGGACGUCUUUUCCAGAGAUUGACUGGACAUUCAUCUCCAUUAUUUGAUGAAGAAGAAAACUCAUCAAGGGAGAUCACUAUCAAUCUCAUGCCAAUAGUGGAAAAUCCAAUUCAAGAAGAAACACCAGGAGGACAUGAUGGAAGUGAGACUCCAGAUAUUCUAGAAGAAUUUGGAGAUGCACAACCAGAUGAAAUCCAUACACCUGAAAACCUGGAGGAACCAGUUGAAACACAGGCACCACCAAUAACACAGGAAACAGGUGCUCUAAUAUUGAAAAUACACCGGCAGAAGGACUAUUGGCCGAUGUUGGAUUAAGGGAAAUGUUGACCCUUGCGAGGCAAUAUAGAGAGGACCACAGGGAUAUACAGAAUAUUAUAAACACUAAUAUUGAACGCUGGGCAGCUAUUUCUGAAAAAAAAUAUUGAACUAGAAAUGGA